AUUGAACGCCGGCGGCAGGCUUAACACAUGCAAGUCGAGCGGAGCGAGGGUGCUUGCCUCUUAGCUUAGCGGCGGACGGGUGAAUAAUGCUUAGGAAUCUGCCUAUUAGUGGGGGACAACAUUCCGAAAGGAAUGCUAAUACCGCAUACGCCCUACGGGGGAGAGCAGGGGAUCUUCGGACCGUGCGCUAACAGAUGAGCCUAAGUCGGAAUAGCUAGUGGGUGGGGUAAAGGCAUACCAAGGCGACGAUCUGUAGCGGGUCUGAGAGGAUGAGCCGCCACACUGGGUCUGAGACACGGCCCAGACUCCUACGUGAGGCAGCAGUGGGGAAUAUUGGACAAUGGGCGGAAGCCUGAUCCAGCCAUGCCGCGUGUGUGAAGAAGGCCUUUUGGUUGUAAAGCACUUUAAGCGAGGAGGAGGCUACUUAGAUUAAUACUCUAGGAUAGUGUACGUUACUCGCAGAAUAAGCACCGACUAACUCUGUGCCAGCCGCCGCGGUAACAC
rnacentral:rRNA from 1 species